GUGGGGUCGACAUGGGGAAGGAGCUGGAGCCGGAGCCCGGCCUGGGCUGCCGAGGCACUGGCUGGAGGCUGCCAGGGCACGCACUGCGUCCCUUCUCCGAGCCGGACACGGGGAUCCAGCAGCGAGCGCCUGAGAUGCCCUGUGCUGUUCCCUGGGAUCUUCAGGAGCCUUUGCUCCGGCCGCAUGGCCAGGACUCCAGGCCUGGUGCCAGCAGCUGUUGGUGGUUUCUGGACCUCUGGGUGAUUCUGCCAAGACCUCAGCCUUCCCCACGCACAGGACAGAGUCUGCUGUGGACACGAGCCCUCCCUGGCUGACGCUCCACUGAGGACUGAACUGGAUGUCAAGGGCAGCUCAAGGGUACAGCAGGGGCCGCAGCCGCCGCCUGCCCGCCGCACCUGCUGGGCUCCAGUGUCUGGGGCUGGGGGUCACUUCCUGACCCCGCUUGGACUUGGUUCCUCCUCCAGUCCCUGCCUGCGACCUGGGGCCAGGUCUCCCUGACCACGCCUUCCCUCGGGCUGUGUCUCAGCGGAAGCCGCACUGGCAGCAGGCGUGAGACAGGGGUCGGGAGGGGCUCUGCACGGGCUGGAGGCUGUGGGGACUUCCUAGGGGACACUUUCCCUGGUGGCUUGGGAGGAGUAGGGGCCUGGCCUCAGGGUGCUCCAGCCCUGGGGGCGUGGUGGGGCUGCAGCUAGAGGGGCAGUAGGGGCAGUGUCCGGGAAAGAUAGAGUUCCCAGGUGAGGAGGCGCCGAGGCCAGGGAGAUGCACUAGGAAAGACACAGCCAGCUCCGGUGCGAUGCUGCCACCUGCAGGCCCGAGGGGCUGCCCAGGCUCCAUCUCAGGAUGCUGUGUCCCAGUCGGACCCCUGGAGCUCCUCCCACCAUGGCUGGAUGCUGGCCCUGGGAGCAGAGGCUGGCAACCCCCGUCCCCACUGCUCCCUUGUCCAUCUGUGAGUAGACCCCUAGGGAGGCGGUCGGCCAUCUCAGUGCCUUCCCGUAGCUGGGGUGGGGAGGAGGCGCAGGCAGGGCGGCGUAAACACCGGCCCUUUACUUUCCCGUAGCUGGGGAGGCUGGGAUGGCCCAGAUGCCAGGGCUGGUUUUCAGCAAGUCCUCUGCCCAUGGCGCCUCUGCUGUGUCCUUGCUUACGAGGUCCUCGGCCCUGUUGGGCCAGAGCCCCGCCCCGAUGACCUCAUACCCCCUUCAGCACAGCCCUGGAGGUCCCGUCUUGCAUGCAGUGACACAGGGCUCAGGGCUUGGGCCCGUAUGGACUCUGGGGGAGACGGUUCUGUGUGUCAGGCAUGGAGAGCUGGGGCCAUCGCCUCUUCAACCAGGGAUGGGGAGGAGCAGAUGUGGAGAGGUGCCAGGUGCAGGGC